AGAGUUUGAUCCUGGCUCAGAGCGAACGCUGGCGGCAGGCCUAAUACAUGCAAGUCGAACGCACCUUCGGGUGAGUGGCGGACGGGUGAGUAACACGUGGGAACGCGCCCUUUGGUUCGGAAUAAUCCGGGGAAACCUGGCCUAAUACCGGAUGAGCCCUUCGGGGGAAAGAUUUAUCGCCAUUGGAGCGGCCCGCGUCUGAUUAGCUAGUUGGUGGGGUAAAGGCCCACCAAGGCUACGAUCAGUAGCUGGUCUGAGAGGAUGAUCAGCCGCACUGGGACUGAGACACGGCCCAGACUCCUACGGGAGGCAGCAGUAGGGAAUCUUGCGCAAUGGGCGAAAGCCUGACGCAGCCAUGCCGCGUGAAUGAUGAAGGUCUUAGGAUUGUAAAAUUCUUUCAGCGGGGAAGAUAAUGACUGUACCCGCAGAAGAAGCUCCGGCUAACUUCGUGCCAGCAGCCGCGGUAAUACGAAGGGGGCUAGCGUUGCUCGGAAUUACUGGGCGUAAAGGGCGCGUAGGCGGGUGUUUAAGUCAGAGGUUAAAUCCCAGGGCUCAACCCUGGAACUGCCUUUGAUACUGGGCACCUAGAGUUCGGGAGAGGUGUGUGGAACUCCGAGUGUAGAGGUGAAAUUCGUAGAUAUUCGGAAGAACACCAGUGGCGAAGGCGACACACUGGCCCGAUACUGACGCUGAGGCGCGAAAGCGUGGGGAGCAAACAGGAUUAGAUACCCUAGUAGUCC
rnacentral:rRNA from 1 species